GACGAACGCUGGCGGCGUGCUUAACACAUGCAAGUCGAACGAUGAAGCUGGAGCUUGCUCCGGUGGAUUAGUGGCGAACGGGUGAGUAACACGUGAGCAAUCUGCCCUUCACUCUGGGAUAACUGCGGGAAACUGUAGCUAAUACCGGAUACGAGACCUUGGGGCAUCCCAGGGUCUGGAAAGAAUUUCGGUGAAGGAUGAGCUCGCGGCCUAUCAGCUAGUUGGUGAGGUAAUGGCUCACCAAGGCGACGACGGGUAGCCGGCCUGAGAGGGUGACCGGCCACACUGGGACUGAGACACGGCCCAGACUCCUACGGGAGGCAGCAGUGGGGAAUAGUGCGCAAUGGGCGAAAGCCUGACGCAGCAACGCCGCGUGAGGGAUGACGGCCUUCGGGUUGUAAACCUCUUUCAGCAGGGAAGAAGCGAAAGUGACGGUACCUGCAGAAGAAGCACCGGCUAACUACGUGCCAGCCGCCGCGGUAA
rnacentral:rRNA from 1 species